rnacentral:rRNA from 1 species
GAUGAACGCUGGCGGCGUGCCUAAUACAUGCAAGUCGAGCGAACGGACGAGAAGCUUGCUUCUCUGAUGUUAGCGGCGGACGGGUGAGUAUCACGUGGAUAACCUACCUAUAAGACUGGGAUAACUUCGGGAAACCGGAGCUAAUACCGGAUAAUAUUUUGAACCGCAUGGUUCAAAAGUGAAAGACGGUCUUGCUGUCACUUAUAGAUGGAUCCGCGCUGCAUUAGCUAGUUGGUAAGGUAACGGCUUACCAAGGCAACGAUGCAUAGCCGACCUGAGAGGGUGAUCGGCCACACUGGAACUGAGACACGGUCCAGACUCCUACGGGAGGCAGCAGUAGGGAAUCUUCCGCAAUGGACGAAAGCCUGACGGAGCAACGCCGCGUGAGUGAUGAAGGUCUUCGGAUCGUAAAACUCUGUUAUUAGGGAAGAACAUAUGUGUAAGUAACUGUGCACAUCUUGACGGUACCUAAUCAGAAAGCCACGGCUAACUACGUG